AAGAGUUGGACCAAGGCAAAGAGAAUCCUUGCAGUUAUGAACGUGGAAGUCAAACAUUUUCUCGAUGUUGAGAUACUACUCUACGAGGGAAAGAUUAAGGUUUAUGACUGCAACUUACCUGUCUUCAGCGAGAGACAUAUUUUUAGCCAACAUGCAGCCACUCUUGAAGUUGUUGCCCAAGUUGUUGAUGCAGAGUAAGCUGAUGGAUCAUUCGCCAUCUGAAGUCUUGACGAAGGAAUC
rnacentral:lncRNA from 1 species